rnacentral:rRNA from 1 species
UGGGAAAAGCUCAACUUUGAAAUCUGGCACCUUCGGUGUCCGAGUUGUAGUCUCUAGAAGUGUCUUCCGUGCUGGCCCAUGUGUGAGUCUGUUGGAACACAGCGUCAUAGAGGGUGACAACCCCGUUCAUAACAUGGACCCCAGUGCUUUGUGAUACACUCUCGACGAGUCGAGUUGUUUGGGAAUGCAGCUCAAAUUGGGUGGUAAAUUCCAUCUAAAGCUAAAUAUUGGCGAGAGACCGAUAGCAAACAAGUACCGUGAGGGAAAGAUGAAAAGCACUUUGGAAAGAGAGUUAACAGUACGUGAAAUUGUUGAAAGGGAAACGAUUGAAGUCAGACGUGCGUGGUGCGGUUCAGCUCUGGUUCGCCAGAGUGUAUUCCGUGCCUUUGCAGGCCAACAUCGGUUUCACGAGGCGGAUAAAGGCUUGAGAAAUGUGGCACCUUCGGGUGUGUUAUAGUCUCUUGCUGAAUACGCCUCGAGGGACCGAGGAACGCAGCGCGCCGCAA